rnacentral:rRNA from 1 species
AGUGAACGCUGGCGGUAGGCCUAACACAUGCAAGUCGAACGGCAGCACAGUAAGAGCUUGCUCUUACGGGUGGCGAGUGGCGGACGGGUGAGGAAUACAUCGGAAUCUACUUUUUCGUGGGGGAUAACGUAGGGAAACUUACGCUAAUACCGCAUACGACCUACGGGUGAAAGCAGGGGAUCUUCGGACCUUGCGCGAUUGAAUGAGCCGAUGUCGGAUUAGCUAGUUGGCGGGGUAAAGGCCCACCAAGGCGACGAUCCGUAGCUGGUCUGAGAGGAUGAUCAGCCACACUGGAACUGAGACACGGCCCAGACUCCUACGGGAGGCAGCAGUGGGGAAUAUUGGACAAUGGGCGUAAGCCUGAUCCAGCCAUACCGCGUGGGUGAAGAAGGCCUUCGGGUUGUAAAGCCCUUUUGUUGGGAAAGAAAAGCAGCAGGUUAAUACCCCGCUGUUCUGACGGUACCCAAAGAAUAAGCACCGGCUAACUUCGUG